rnacentral:lncRNA from 1 species
UUUCUGGCCCACCCGUAAAUAUUUGUUCCCGCAUCAUAGGAAUUUGUGGAUCAGAUUCUCAUGGAUGCAUGAUCAGAGAGGUCUCCAAAUUCAGUGGCUCUAGGGGUCAACAACUUGAUGGGUCCUACGUACUCUUCCAAUACCAGCAUUUCAUUAGCUUCUCAUCUACAGCCAUCUAAGUACAGGUUUUCUCGGUUACUCUAUUUUUUUCAAGCCGGAUGAGAUAUAAAAGAUCAUGUCCAGCUAAACUCCUUUUGCUUUCUUAUUGAAGCAUUAUAUAAGACAAGUUAUAAUUAUACCAAGAUCAAGUUGCUUGUUAUUUUAUUUGAAGGUAGUUUGUGUUAAUUAGGAUAGUCGGAUAGGUUAUUAAAUAAAACAGCUAUUGUGGGUGCAUGAUGAGUAUUAACGGUAUGGCAAAAUUCGUGCCUUCAGGUUCCUUGUACAUAAACCAUUAUAUAAAUCAGACUUUAAAUUUCUCUCAUUUCUAUUAUUCUUAUCUUAGAAUAAAUUUGAUCAUGAGAACAUUGCUCAAGUCUUAGUUCUCUGAACACUGUUUUCCUUUAUGAUGUAAAGUUAUGAUGGGGAAUGUUAUUCCUGCAUAUUUGAUUUGGAAGAUUCUGAUUCAUGUUCUUUUGGAAUGUUUCUGUGUGUCUCUUGUGUGUAGAGAUGUCUUGGUCCAUCCAAGAAUGUUCGCCAGAUAGAUCUUAAGAGUUCAGGUCAGUACUGCCCUGAUGGAUAUACACUUGUUUGAUGAAUUGUACUACACAGAGCUCCAAAUUGUAGAGUAGAUUAAUGUUUUAUUAGUACUAAUUGAUAAACAUUGAAAAGAAAAAGGAAGCACUACUCUAGAAGUCACAAAGACUUGACACUAAUGUUAUCCGAAUAUUUUGCCUUAAUUCCACUACUCUUUCACCUUAGGAUGGAAUUGAUGAAGAAACAGUGUUUUGCGUAUGCUUAUGCUCAUGCUCUUCUUGGCCAACUCUGCACAUGCAUAUGCUGCUCUUGCCAUAUGACUUUCUCUAAUAACCAACAGUAGUUGGUAGUAAGACAGUAAGCAAGUUUUUGCAUACACAGAGGCUACCACCGCCCAUAAAAGAAAAGGACCUGUAAUUUGCCUCAUGAGUGGGAAUGGUAUUCACUUGUUUUUGUUUCUUCUGCAUAUGAAGGUGGUGGUGGUGGUGGUUUGUCUUUCCAAGAUGUAACGUCGCUUGUGAGGGUUCUAGAAAGCAUCAUUGUCGUCUCCUUGACGUAUACAGUGAGUGAUGAGAAUUGACCUGACAGAUUCCCUCUUGGGUUGGACAGUCUGUCACGUUCAAAACAUUUAAUGGUGUGGGGAGCAUCUAUCAAAAUUGGGUACAAAACCAGGUGUGGUUACCUCAAGUGCUAGUACCAGAUAUCAUCCAGACACUUCCUUUGGCAAUGGAAGGAAGGGCGGCGCAGAACAUGGGUAGGGGGCCAAGGUUUUGAAGAAACGAUGUUGUAUGUGAGAAAUGCCAAUCCAACGUUACUGUUUCAUGAAUCCAUUGAGAGCGGAGCGCAUGUGCAAGCAUUGGUUGCAGAUGAGAACCAGGUCAAUUACAGGAGUGCAACUUUGAACCAUACUGAUCUCUUACUUUUUCAUCAAUCCAUAUUAAGAGCGCAUGUGCAAGUGCAAACAUUGGUUGUAGGUCAAUUACAAACAAGAGUGCAACUUUGAACCAGAUUUUUGCAUGUACUAAACGUGAUUAAAUUGAAAAGGAAGGAAUCGAGUGCAUGUUAACGUUUUCACUUUCAUCAAUGGCUAGAUUUUUGCAUUGCUCAGGACGCAAGACUUGUCCUUGAGGCGUGG